CAGGGCCUACUCGCCGACUCGGUUCACACUUCUAGGCAAACAUGAGAUGUACAGUGUAUGCCGCUAAAAAGUAGCUCACGUUUUAUACAAAACACGGUUUUGAAUAUGAAUCUUGUCACUUUAGCAUGCUUGGACGAGUCUAAACUUCUGAUAAGGGAUUCUUAACAAGCGCCCCGCACUGGAAGUGCAAUGUUACCAGGGCACGGUCACCUCUCUGCAAGAAGGUCCUCAGUUUCCCACACAACCCGGAAAUGUGCUGGACAGCUGAACUGGAGAUAACAUACUGCAUAAAGGGUCUCCUCUGCCACAUAGAGAGGCUGUUUAUGUCAGGCGAUUCCCAGGAAAAACAACAUGCUAGUAAGAGGGACAGGAGACAGCUGCCCGCCCCGACGCAUGCCCAGCUCACGGUCAACACGCAUCCAGAAGCAAAGAAAGACAAAUAAAGGUGCAGUUUUCACAGUGUUGCUCCAUCACAAUCAUCCUCAAGCCAUCAUGAAGCCGGAGCCUCAAUCACGCAACAACCUGCUUCAGGGCUGCAACACCACAACAAGAAGAGCAGUAAUCCACGCUAACAGCAAACCACUGCAAAUGU
rnacentral:lncRNA from 1 species